rnacentral:lncRNA from 1 species
AUUGAGAACCUGACCCUACAGGACAGUGGGCGAUACAAGGCAUACAGCAGGUUAAGUGAUGGACCAGAAGUUUUCCAAAUUUUCCACCUCAAGGUCUAUGAGCCUGUGUCCCCUCCACAGAUCCUGGUUCAGACAUUGUCCAUCACACCAGACUGGUGCAACUUCAUCUUAGAAUGAAGUGCCACAGGGGCCACAGAGAACCUGAAUGUGACCUGGAAGAGGAAGGGUCUCCCCAGGGAGCUGGAGCAGAGAGGGACACUAAGAUUGUCCCCCAACACCUGGGUCCAGAUUGUAAGCCUGCCCCUGAGCCAAGCCAAUGCCAGCCUCACCUGUGUGGUCAGCAAUCCUGUGGACCAGAACAAUGCCACCACAGACCUUGGUGUCAUAUGCUUAAAACGGGAAACAGGUGGACAGUCUGCAGCUGGCCUCAUAGGAGGGUUACUGGGGGGCUUCGUGGCUGUGCUUUUGCUUCUCGGAGUUGGACUAUAUUUUUGGAAGAUUCGUGAGAAGAAGAAAAUGACGGUGGAACAAAGCAGGUUGUACUUCCCCUCCUGUAUUCAGAGACCUUCCCUCUCUCCAAAUGGACUUUGGGCUCCCUUUGUUCACUUUGCUGGCAGGAAGUGUCCUGCAAAGGCAAUGGUGGGUGUAAACAUGCUGGCCUUGGGUUCAUAGUGCUGGGGGAGUGUUACUUGUUUCCCUGGCACAAAAUCAACUCCUCUCUGUCCAUGACUCAAGGGCAAGACUGCAGCAGGAUGAAAAUAUCUUCAAGGAUGACAUCAUGUAUGCAGAUGUUAUACAUCAGAAAUAUCAGAAGGAUAAGGACAAGGUGAGAGCUGGGAGUGGUGGCCAGCCUGGCCACUCACAGGUCACCCAUUGCCCACCCUGGGCUUCCUAAUCUCAGAUACCUGCUAUUUCUGUCUCUACUGUUCUUACCUCUAUUUGUAAUAU